rnacentral:rRNA from 1 species
AACGUAGGAGACGAGCGUUAUCCGGAUUUACUGGGCGUAAAGAGCGCGCAGGCGGCUGGUCAAGUCCGAUGUGAAAGCUCCCGGCUUAACUGGGAAAUUGCAUCGGAAACUGAUCGGCUGGAAGGUGGGAGAGGGUAGCGGAAUUCCCGGUGUAGUGGUGAAAUGCGUAGAUAUCGGGAGGAACACCAGUGGCGAAAGCGGCUACCUGGCCCAUUCUUGACGCUGAGGCGCGAAAGCUAGGGGAGCAAACGGG